rnacentral:rRNA from 1 species
UACGGAAGGUCCGAGCGUUAAUCGGAAUUACUGGGCGUAAAGCGCACGUAGGCGGCUAGGUCAGUUGGGUGUGAAAGCCCCGGGCUCAACCUGGGAACUGCAUCCAAUACUGCCUGGCUAGAGUACGAGAGAGGGGGGUAGAAUUUCUAGUGUAGCGGUGAAAUGCGUAGAUAUUAGAAGGAAUACCAGUGGCGAAGGCGGCCCCCUGGCUCGAUACUGACGCUGAGGUGCGAAAGCGUGGGGAGCAAACAGG